CCAGACGGACGGCUGAGGAAAAUACUCAAGUAGUGCAGUGAAAGGAAAAAUUCUAACCUCGACCGUAAAUACCGCGUGUCCAUCGUGGCUAAGAUCUAGUCAAAAGAUCAGCCGACCAUUCCUACGUUUAUUAAGCGAAGGCCGAACCCAUCGGGUUUGGCCGUACGUAAUACCGUACGAAACGCCGGUCGUAGUGCCGUAAGCCGUACCCGCUACAGUCUCGUCACCUUACCACACAUAUAAAUACCCAGCGUCCCGAUCGACUACAGUAUGUG